GGAUCAAAGUUUACCGAGAAAAAGGCAUAACCUGGAAUUGAAAAGCCAUACCUUUUGAUUUAACUCAAAUGAUUUUCUAGAGAUAUAUUUGUCAUGAAAUACUUUGGUUCGAGCCUUGUAAAUUCAUGAACUCUCGUAUGCAUCGUUGCGAAGUUCUUCCAGUUCAUUGAUUUGCAACCUUCGAUUAGAACCUGCAUUCUUCAUGUUAAAAUUAAACAUUCGUAUGGCCCAGAGUGCACGAUGUUCUAAUUCAACCGACAGAUGGCAAGCUUUGCCAUAAACUAAUCGGUAGGGUGACAUACCGAUAGGGGUUUUAAAAGCUGUACGGUAAGCCCAUAAUACAUCAUCUAAGCGAAGAGACCAAUCCUUUCUAUCG
rnacentral:lncRNA from 1 species